AGAGUUUGAUCCUGGCUCAGGACGAACGCUGGCGGCGCGCCUAACACAUGCAAGUCGAACGAGCGAGAGAGAGCUUGCUUUCUCAAGCGAGUGGCGAACGGGUGAGUAACGCGUGAGGAACCUGCCUCAAAGAGGGGGGCAACAGUUGGAAACGACUGCUAAUACCGCAUAAGCCCACAGCUCGGCAUCGAGCAGAGGGAAAAGGAGUAAUCCGCUUUGAGAUGGCCUCGCGUCCGAUUAGCUGGUUGGUGAGGUAACGGCCCACCAAGGCGACGAUCGGUAGCCGGACUGAGAGGUUGAACGGCCACAUUGGGACUGAGACACGGCCCAGACUCCUACGGGAGGCAGCAGUGGGGAAUAUUGCACAAUGGGGGAAACCCUGAUGCAGCGACGCCGCGUGGAGGAAGAAGGUCUUCGGAUUGUAAACUCCUGUUGUUGAGGAAGAUAAUGACGGUACUCAACAAGGAAGUGACGGCUAACUACGUGCCAGCAGCCGCGGUAAAACGUAGGUCACAAGCGUUGUCCGGAAUUACUGGGUGUAAAGGGAGCGCAGGCGGGAAGGCAAGUUGGAAGUGAAAUCCAUGGGCUCAACCCAUGAACUGCUUUCAAAACUGUUUUUCUUGAGUAGUGCAGAGGUAGGCGGAAUUCCCGGUGUAGCGGUGGAAUGCGUAGAUAUCGGGAGGAACACCAGUGGCGAAGGCGGCCUACUGGGCACCAACUGACGCUGAGGCUCGAAAGUGUGGGUAGCAAACAGGAUUAGAUACCCUGGUAGUCCACACUGUAAACGAUGAUUACUAGGUGUUGGAGGAUUGACCCCUUCAGUGCCGCAGUUAACACAAUAAGUAAUCCACCUGGGGAGUACGACCGCAAGGUUGAAACUCAAAGGAAUUGACGGGGGCCCGCACAAGCAGUGGAGUAUGUGGUUUAAUUCGACGGAACGCGAAGAACCUUACCAAGUCUUGACAUCCUGCGACGCACAUAGAAAUAUGUGUUUCCUUCGGGACGCAGAGACAGGUGGUGCAUGGUUGUCGUCAGCUCGUGUCGUGAGAUGUUGGGUUAAGUCCCGCAACGAGCGCAACCCUUAUGGUCAGUUACUACGCAAGAGGACUCUGGCCAGACUGCCGUUGACAAAACGGAGGAAGGUGGGGAUGACGUCAAAUCAUCAUGCCCUUUAUGACUUGGGCUACACACGUACUACAAUGGCGUUAAACAAAGAGAAGCAAGACCGCGAGGUGGAGCAAAACUCAGAAACAACGUCCCAGUUCGGACUGCAGGCUGCAACUCGCCUGCGCGAAGUCGGAAUUGCUAGUAAUCGCAGAUCAGCAUGCUGCGGUGAAUACGUUCCNCGGGCCCUUGUACACACCGCCCGUNNC
rnacentral:rRNA from 1 species